rnacentral:rRNA from 1 species
AUACGGAGGGUGCAAGCGUUAUCCGGAAUCAUUGGGUUUAAAGGGUCCGUAGGCGGACUAUUAAGUCAGAGGUGAAAUCCCACAGCUCAACUGUGGAACUGCCUUUGAUACUGGUAGUCUUGAGUUAUAUGGAAGUAGAUAGAAUGUGUAGUGUAGCGGUGAAAUGCAUAGAUAUUACACAGAAUACCGAUUGCGAAGGCAGUCUACUACGUAUAUACUGACGCUAAGGGACGAAAGCGUGGAGAGCGAACAGGAUUAGAAACCCCGGUAGUCC